rnacentral:rRNA from 1 species
AGAGGUCCCAAGCGUUGUUCGGAUUCAUUGGGCGUAAAGGGUGCGUAGGUGGCAUGGUUAGUCGGGUGUGAAAUCCCGGGGCUCAACCCCGGAACUGCACUCGAUACUGCCGUGCUGGAGUACUGGAGAGGAGACUGGAAUUUACGGUGUAGCAGUGAAAUGCGUAGAUAUCGUAAGGAAGACCGGUGGCGAAAGCUAGUCUCUGGACAGUCACUGACACUGAGGCACGAAGGCUAGGGGAGCAAACGGGAUUAGAUACCCCGGUAGUCCUAGCAGUAAACGGUGCGCGUUUGGUGUGGGAGGAUUCGACCCCCUCCGUGCCGGAGCUAACGCGUUAAACGCGCCGCCUGGGGAAUACGAUCGCAAGAUUA